AGCCAUUGGAGGGCAAGUCUGGUGCCAGCAGCCGCGGUAAUUCCAGCUCCAAUAGCGUAUAUUAACGUUGUUGCAGUUAAAAAGCUCGUAGUUGAAGUGUGGGUGAUCGCUAUUGUGAGACUUCGGUCUCUCAACGGUAAGUCACCCCCUUCCAGUAUCCAGUAGUGGGUAUUCAGUUACUUACUAUUGUGUGUUGGUCCUUUACUGUGAGAAAAUUAGAGUGUUCAAAGCAGGCGUUUGCUUGAAUAGAUUAGCAUGGAAUAAUAAUUGAAGGCUUUCGUGUUCGAUUUGAUUGGUUUGUUCAUGGAAGCAAGGUUAAAAGGAACAGUUGGGGGUAUUCAUAUUCACUAGUUAGAGGUGAAAUUCUCGGAUUUAUGGAA
rnacentral:rRNA from 1 species